CAAGAACCGAGGUCUUGAUGAUCACCAAGGUCUUUCGACACAUCUAGUUCUUCCAUGGCAUCCAAAUCAUGCAAAUGCAAGUUCCUCAAAUCAGUUGACUCCUCGGCAUCUUUAGAUGACCCCACCAGAAUGUUAGCAGGCAACGCUGGGUCGUUUCCUCUUGUUCUGUCGUUAAGUUUUGCUCCCAUCUUACUAGAUUGAGAAGUCAAAG
rnacentral:misc_RNA from 1 species